CUUUUUUUCUACCAUGUGACUUUGAACCCCGGAAAGGAAAGUUAGAGAAAACAUUGUAGCGUUUUGAGCUUCAGUCAGUUCACAUAUGACUUUUCUUUAGAGUCCAUGUCAUGCAGAGAGCAGCAGUCAUGAAGUCGGCUCUGCUCCACGUUCUGCUGCCUUUCGCGCUCUGCGUCGCUUUGGCGAACACCAGCCUGUUCGACGAGGUUAAAGUGGAUUUGUCGUAUGAGCACUACGCUGAGCGUCGGGUCGAGUAUCUGCCCGCUUUCCUGGCGAUGCCCUGUAACUGUCUUAUAAACUUGGCUUAUAUCUACAUGGGGCUGCACUGGCUGCUGUGGUACAGAGGCGGUAAUGAAACGGACCAGAGCCGCUACAUGAGGCAAGUGUUCGCCUUCAUGGCCGUCUUUUACGCGCCCGUGCAGUGGACGCGCUUGGCGGUGCUGCGGCGCGCUCCGGCUGUGCUCGACCAGUGGUUCACCUUACCGAUCUUCGCGUGGGUUCCGGUGUGGAUCGGCUUCAUCGAGCGCGGGCCGGCGAAGUGGCGCGCGUCGCCAGCGGCGGCGCUCGAACUGUGUUCUCUCCUCAGCUACGGCCUGGCGCUGGCGCACGAGCGGGGCUUUGAGGUGGCACUGGGCUGUCACGUCGGCCUCGCUGUGUACCUGGGAGUUCGCGUGCAGUUGGCCCACGGGGACGGUCGCACGCGGGGAUAUCUGCUGCUGGCGACGCUGUCAUGUGCGGGAUUCGUAGUGCUAAAGCUGCUGGAUCACUGGCUCGCUCGGUACCGCCUGUUCCAGCGGUUCACCGGACACUUCUGGUCCAAAGUGUGCGACGUGCUGCAGUUUCACUUCAGCUUCUGUUUCCUGACAACACUGACACAGAGGACCCAGGGAAAGACAGCGGAGCAGCAGGAAUGAGAGACCAACGGGGACCAGGAGCCGUGAUGCUCCCGUCAGGGCCAGGCCUGCCUCCCUGAAGUCCUGGUGGGAGCAGUAGAUGAGAGGGUUCAGACCACAGUCCAGGUGGUUCACCUGUUGCUGUUUGAGCAGCAGCUCGUGGCACUCAGCAGAGAGCAGAAGACGAUGAGGAGGAAGGG